rnacentral:rRNA from 1 species
AUUGAACGCUGGCGGCAGGCCUAACACAUGCAAGUCGAAUGGUAACAGGAAACAGCUUGCUGUUUCGCUGACGAGUGGCGGACGGGUGAGUAAUGUCUGGGAAACUGCCUGAUGGAGGGGGAUAACUACUGGAAACGGUAGCUAAUACCGCAUAACGUCGCAAGACCAAAGAGGGGGGACCUUCGGGCCUCUUGCCAUCAGAUGUGCCCAGAUGGGAUUAGCUAGUAGGUGGGGUAACGGCUCACCUAGGCGACGAUCCCUAGCUGGUCUGAGAGGAUGACCAGCCACACUGGAACUGAGACACGGUCCAGACUCCUACGGGAGGCAGCAGUGGGGAAUAUUGCACAAUGGGCGCAAGCCUGAUGCAGCCAUGCCGCGUGUAUGAAGAAGGCCUGGUUGUAAGU